rnacentral:rRNA from 1 species
GACGAACGCUGGCGGCAUGCCUAAUACAUGCAAGUCGAACGAGCUCUUCGGAGCUAGUGGCGGACGGGUGAGUAACACGUUGGUACCUACCCCGAAGUGGGGAAUAACUGCCCGAAAGGGUGGCUAAUACCGCAUAAUACCGUAAGGUUAAAGCAGUAAUGCGCUUCGGGAGGGGCCUGCGUCCCAUUAGCUCGUUGGCGGGGUAAUGCCCACCAAGGCGACGAUGGGUAGCUGGAUCGAGAGGUUGACCCGCCACACUGGGACUGAGAUACGGCCCAGAUUCCUACGUGAGGCAGCAGUAAGGAAUCUAUCACAAUGGACGAAAGUCUGAUGGAGCAAUGCCGCGUGCAGGAUGACGGCCUUCGGGUUGUAAACUGCUUUUAUUUGGGAAGAUUAUGACGGUACCAUAUGAAUAAGGACCGGCUAACUACGUGCCAGCCGCCGCGGUAAAAC